CCUCUGACCAGCAGGGGUGCAAACAGACUGUCAAGAUGGUGAUGACUGACCUGAAUUUUCCUCCAUCCAUCCACGUGAGGACUGAACUUGAGUCGUUUUCCCACAUGGUGAAGCGUCCUCCUGCUUCAGUGUUGGGGGAUGAGUGUUGAAGAUGUCUGCAGAUCUCUGGGCCUUCGGAAUCAUGGCUGAAAUUGAGCGCUUCACAUGUGAACUCAAAGCAUCGGGCAACUUUUUAUUUGUUUCACAAGAGGAGUAAAAAUAAGAUCAAGUUGAGUGUAUUUUAUUCAGAAACACAGACUGACCUGGUCUACAAAAUGAAACAUAAAGUUUAACGCCUAAAAUAUGUUUUUAAGGUUUGCGUUUGUUUUAACAUGUUCAUGUGUUAAUUUUGAAACCUUCACUACCUCAAACAUUGAGAUAUUUAGGAUGUUGAGGAUUUGAUUAUUUGGAGGCUGUUUCAUGGAUGUAGCAGAAAGAGGAGAUGGACGAGGGAGUAGUUUAUUACCCACACACACGCGUGACAGCUGUCAUCCACCUGACCGAUCACUUCCGCCAUUUUAACCCCCACCGUCAGUGCACCACCCCUCCCCACGUCGCCAAACCCCUUCUAACGUGAGGAACUCCCCCUCCCAGCAGACGCCACAAAGCCAUAAUAGAGGUAAGCAAUCAAAUAUAUAUUUUUUUA